rnacentral:rRNA from 1 species
GACGUAGGGCGCAAGCGUUGUCCGGAUUUAUUGGGCGUAAAGAGCUCGUAGGCGGCUUGCCACGUCUGCCGUGAAAACCAGCAGCUUAACUGUUGGCUUGCGGUUGAUACGGGUUGGCUGGAGUUCGGUAGGGGAGACUGGAAUUCCUGGUGUAGCGGUGAAAUGCGCAGAUAUCAGGAGGAACACCGGUGGCGAAGGCGGCAUCCUGGACCGGCAUUGACGCUGAGGCGCGAAAGCCAGGGGAGCAAACGGG